UACGAAGGGGGCUAGCGUUGCUCGGAAUUACUGGGCGUAAAGGGCGCGUAGGCGGACAACUUAGUCAGAGGUGAAAGCCCAGGGCUCAACCUUGGAAUUGCCUUUGAUACUGGUUGUCUUGAGUUCGGGAGAGGUGAGUGGAAUGCCGAGUGUAGAGGUGAAAUUCGUAGAUAUUCGGCGGAACACCAGUGGCGAAGGCGACUCACUGGCCCGAUACUGACGCUGAGGCGCGAAAGCGUGGGGAGCGAACAGG
rnacentral:rRNA from 1 species